rnacentral:lncRNA from 1 species
UUUAACCAGAUUAUUUUUUGUAGGAAUUCUAUUGGAUAAUAAUCUCCAAACAAAUAAAGACACUUUCAAUGGAGCAAAUUUGUUCCAAAUAAUUUUCUUAAUCUCUAUUGAAACCACCUAUUCAUUCUGUACCAAAAUAUUGUAGCAUUUUAGGCUCCUUUGACAGUGAAGCCUUCUUCAACAUUUGGUCAGAAGCAUUAAUCUGCAAAAGAAAGUUAG